UACAGAGGGUGCAAGCGUUGUUCGGAAUUAUUGGGCGUAAAGCGCGUGUAGGCGGCCUUGCAAGUUGGGUGUGAAAGCCCUCGGCUUAACCGAGGAAGUGCGCCCAAAACUACAAGGCUUGAAUACCGGAGAGGAUGGUGGAAUUCCCGGUGUAGAGGUGAAAUUCGUAGAUAUCGGGAGGAACACCAGUGGCGAAGGCGACCAUCUGGACGGCUAUUGACGCUGAGACGCGAAAGCGUGGGGAGCAAACAGG
rnacentral:rRNA from 1 species